rnacentral:lncRNA from 1 species
AAAAAGAAACAAAAUUUUGUGCGCUGCUCUCCCCGGUGGCUGGCUCCUUCGCUGGUGCCGGAGGCCUCGAUCCUUCUUCCUUUCUCUUCUCUUUCCUCUGCCCUCCUUCCCUCAGUGGUUCGAUAUGCUCGGCAUCUAUAUGGUGGUUGGCUUGCCCCGGAUUAUGACCUAGAUCUCGGUGCCAUAGGUCUGGAUCCGGUGGCUCAUGUUCUCUAUUGGAGCGUCAGCGAGUCUCGUCAGUGGUCUGUGUGUGGUAGGGCCGGCUUUUAGGGAUUACGGUGGUGGUGAAUUUUCAGAUCUGUUUCUGCUCUCCUCCGCCUUUGAGACCAGCGCAUGGUUGGUUUAGCUUUUUAACUCUCAUGGUCUCCUGAGGGUUCACGUGGUGUGGAGUCUCAGUUCUCCUGUUUGUUGGGCCGUGGUGAGUUGUAGAUCUCGUAGCCUCCCCUUGGUGUUUUGGUGGAGUUUCUCUUCUUCUCUUCGGUCAGGAUAUGCAUCAGCGUUUUCUUCUCGGGUGUGGUGCGCAGCGAGUAGGUGGUCUCGUGUGUCUCUUCCUUCUCUCUGGUCUUUGCACUUGUUGGUUUC